AGAGUUUGAUCCUGGCUCAGGAUGAACGCUGGCGGCGCGCCUAACACAUGCAAGUCGAGCGAUUACUUCGGUAAAGAGCGGCGGACGGGUGAGUAACGCGUGGGUAACCUGCCUCAUACACAUGGAUAACAUACCGAAAGGUAUGCUAAUACAAGAUAAUAUAAGAGAUUCGCAUGGAUUUCUUAUCAAAGCUCCGGCGGUAUGAGAUGGACCCGCGUCUGAUUAGCUAGUUGGUAAGGUAACGGCUUACCAAGGCGACGAUCAGUAGCCGACCUGAGAGGGUGAUCGGCCACAUUGGAACUGAGACACGGUCCAAACUCCUACGGGAGGCAGCAGUGGGGAAUAUUGCACAAUGGGCGAAAGCCUGAUGCAGCAACGCCGCGUGAGCGAUGAAGGCCUUCGGGUCGUAAAGCUCUGUCCUCAAGGAAGAUAAUGACGGUACUUGAGGAGGAAGCCCCGGCUAACUACGUGCCAGCAGCCGCGGUAAUACGUAGGGGGCUAGCGUUAUCCGGAUUUACUGGGCGUAAAGGGUGCGUAGGUGGUUUCUUAAGUCAGGAGUGAAAGGCUACGGCUCAACCGUAGUAAGCUCUUGAAACUGGGAAACUUGAGUGCAGGAGAGGAAAGUGGAAUUCCUAGUGUAGCGGUGAAAUGCGUAGAUAUUAGGAGGAACACCAGUAGCGAAGGCGGCUUUCUGGACUGUAACUGACACUGAGGCACGAAAGCGUGGGGAGCAAACAGGAUUAGAUACCCUGGUAGUCCACGCCGUAAACGAUGAGUACUAGGUGUCGGGGGUUACCCCCCUCGGUGCCGCAGCUAACGCAUUAAGUACUCCGCCUGGGGAGUACGCUCGCAAGAGUGAAACUCAAAGGAAUUGACGG
rnacentral:rRNA from 1 species